rnacentral:tRNA from 1 species
GGGGUUGUGGUUCAGCAGGAGAGCGCUCACCUGGCAUGUGUGAGGCCCUGGGUUCGAUCCUCAGCACCA